rnacentral:lncRNA from 1 species
GGUAGGGGAAAACUAGCAAGGAGAAUGCUCAGGGAGUGAAACUACACCACCAGGUUGGCCCCACCUUGAGGCAGGGGCCCAUCAGUCUCAGUCAUUGAGUCAUUGACAGGAUGUGAAAGGAGCAGGGUGAGGAGAGAGGUUGGAAGUGAAGUUAUAUCAGAGUUGUAUCAGCCCUAAAGGGGAUUGGGCAGUGCACCAGAAGAAUCUACCACAUUCCCGAGGUUUACUUCAAGAUGCAAUUGGGCCUGCCUGUCAAGCCUUUGCAGUAAACAUUCCAUGCAUAUCUAAUGAGUGACACAAACACAGCUUGGUCAAAUCCAAGAUGGGUGUUCCUGAUCUGCCUGUAGCUCUCCUCCAACCCAGACUCCUUUCAAACUGUGCCUCCACCAUCUUCAAUAUGGAGCUUCCAAGAUUGCCCUGCUGCCCUGCAUCAAGCCUGCAAAAGAGGAUAGGGGGUCAGGCCACUCAUAUUUCAUUGGCCCAAAUUCAGUCACAUGGCCACACUCACUGCAAGGGAAGCUGGGAAAUGGAGUCUAGCUCUGUGCCCAAGAAGCAAAGAAAAACAGAUUUGAUGAAGACUUAGUCAAUCUCUGCAACAAUGAAACAGAUAAGAAGGCAAAAGAAAAAGAAUUUUACAACCUGAGGAGGGAGAGAAAAUUCAGUUAACAAAAAGAUAGACUACAUGCCAAGGUAGUCUGCAGAAUUCUACCUACCCAAAUUAUGUGUUAAAUUGUGAAAGAAGUUAUGAUAAAAAUAGGAUGAGGGUGAAAUUUGAAAAAUGCUCUGGGGACACAUAGCACACUCCUUCCCUGGUGACACAGUAGGCAGAACCAAGCCAACUAUAAAAGGAAGCUCAGUGUGUUUAAUCUGUUGCUCGGAUAAAACCAUCCUGGAAAAACUCCCAGUUUUACAAUCUAACUGAUCAUCAGUAUCUCAGUUAUACAAAUAACUCCAGCCUGCAUGAAAUACCUUCUUGCUCCCCUUGACUUGUAAAAAUAACUUUGUUUCAAUGGAAAAGGUGUAGAAAAUGGACGUUGAAGCCAAUCAAACUCAUAGUAUCAAUACUUUGUGUUAAGCUUUAGGAGUAAGUUUUGUAAUCAUUGCAAUCAGCUUGUUUUUGUUAUUUAAGCAGCUUAAAAUGAUUAAGAUAAUCUGACAUAUUAGCCUUACGAUUUUAUUUUGGAAUGAUAAACUAAUACUCAAUUUGUAAUUUUCACUUGAAAGUUGCAGAAUAAUUGAAUAUGUUCUUUAAAAGUGUUUGAAUAUUCAGAAGAAUCUAAUUUACUACAUGUAUAAACUAGUAUUAUUACAAGAGUUCAUUGAGAUAUUGAAGGAUUUUUCUUGCUUUGUUUGUAAAUGUUGCCCCAUCAGGCAUUUGAAGUGUUUGAGAAAGUCAAAGUUAUUAAAUUUGUAAAGAUAGUUAAAAAUAUUUUAGGAAAUCUUUUUACAUGUAUAAAGAUGGUCAGUUUGAAGAAAUUUAAUGUUUUUAAGUUUGUAAGUUGAUUGAACACUAAUCAAACAAGAAAAGCAAUUGUUCUCAUUUUUAUAUAAAAAUCACUAUAUUUACAAAUAAAAUAACCAGGUUUAUAGACUAAGCUUGAAGGCCUAAAACACAUUUUAAGUGUAAGGGCCAGGGGUAGGGGGGCAACAAAGAGCAAGAAGCCAAGAGGAGCUAAGAAACCGGAACCUGAGCUGCAGUCCCCAGAGGAAGGGACUUGCUUGGAAGUCUACUUCCUCCCAGAGGUAAGCUGUCGAGUCAUAUGGGAAAGAGGUAGUGAGACUAAUGGGCAGAAUCAGGGUCAUUCCUGGAUUUCUGUCUAAAACAGGGCAAAGAGGAGCAGGGGUAGGGCCCAGCAACAGGAUAUGGGUCUGACAGAGAUUCAAGAUGGGUAGCAGGGCCCUGUGUGGACAGAGGGUGCACAUAAGAAGACGUAAGAGGACAAUGGAGAGGCUACACCAUAAUGGAGAUGUCUGGCCACUUGGUGCUGAGAUAGAGAGCAGAACAGACACUAAAUAAGGCCAGUGUCCCCACCACCAAGGGACAAAGGGACAGGAGAAGGAACAGAGAGGCCCUUGGGGAAGUGGAUGCUCUUGAAGAACAGGUGGAAUAGACACCUGGCGUCUUGGUGCCUAUCAUGUGAUAAUCAUCUUAACUGUGAACCCGGUGAAGGACAGGAGCAGCUUAUAUCAAGUUCUGAGGUGUGGGGGUGGGGAUACAGUGCUCCAGUAUGGGGUGUGGAAAAGUGGGGCUACAUUGACAGCAUCACAGGACUCUACCAUCUAGAUGACAGUAAUGCCCCUCCCCAACUCAUGAAAAUCAAAACUAUCUCCAGAAAUUGCCACAUUUCCCCCCAGCCCCCAGGGGUGACAAAAUCGUCUGUGGAUAAGACCCACUGCUCUAGAAUGUAAAUGCCAUGAAAGCUGGAACAUUUUCUAACGUAUCUUCAGCAACCCAUAAGUGACACUGAAUAAGUAUUUGUUGAAUAAAUGAAUGAAUGAGUGGGUUAUGAAUCAUAACAGCAAUGGAAGAGCAGUGAGAACAUGACAAUCAAAUCCCAAAGCCUUCCUGGAUUAAAAUAAGUGAGAAUCAAUUGGAAUAAGACAGAAUCAAGAUAGCUUUAUCCUUAAUAAAGUUAAGAAAGAAAUAAUGGUUUGUUUAUACUUAAAAUUUUAAAUUUUUCUGGUUGGGACAUUGAUUUAUUUCCUCAUGCUAGUAGUGAGUAUAUACUUAUCAUUAUAAAUAUAAUUUCAUACAUUUAAACACAGGCAUGUUUCUUCUCUGGGGUUCUUAGCAUUCCAGUUGGAAAUCCAUCUCUAUGUUAAGCACAAAGCUCCAUAUGUCACUUAAGUGAAUGGACCACCAAUCAACUAGUGAUAGCAACAAGAGGCAAAGGGCACAGAGUGAAGGAGGAAGAGUACAAAAUGCCUUCCCAUUUUCCCCAAAAUCCCAGAAUGCAAUCGCCAUAUCUCAGAGGAACAUCUGGUUGAAUUGGGAGGGUGGGUAAGAUUUUGGAGGAUCUGGGAGGCCAGGCCAAGGAGUUGUUUUAAGGUAGUGAGCAUUUGAGAACCAUGAGAACAUGUGGAGCACAGUCAGAUGUUGUCAAUCGUGCCUUAAGAAGAUUCUGCAGGCAGUGGCGGUCAGGGAAGAAAGUAGAGGAGAGAGAUGCACCAGGCUGCCUAUGAUGAGAUGUGCACCAAGGAAGCUGGCUGCUUGACUUCAGAGCCAAGGAAAUGGAGUGUGGACAUUACUGCAAAGCUGGACUUCUGUUAAGGACAGAGCUUUCACAAUGCUUACACAUUGUUGGUUUACAAUUCCCUGAAUUUAGCAAUGCUUGAUGAUAAUGGAAUUUACUUUCCUAUUGAAACAACUCAGAGAGGAUUACUAAGGCAGGGUCAUGAAGACCUGGACAAACUGACCCUCUCACCGCCUUGGAUAGCCUUGGCCACUUGAGUCAAAUCCAGUGUUAUCUGGGAGUGAGGGAUUAUUUUGUCUCAAGGGUAAUCAGCUUUAAGGCAAGAUUCUAGGAAACAACCUUCACUUAAAAUUUUCUUUUCAUUAAGAUCCAAAGAAUAAUUUUCAGUGAUUAUGAAAUUAUAGUCUCUUAUCUUUGUUUCUUUGAUUUUUAUAACAUUAUGGCAGAAAAUGCCAGCAAAUCCCUUAUAUCCAUUCUUCCUUUCUCCCUCAUAGCAGAAUCCCUGGUUUAUCAGCUGGGAAUGUGGAAAUCCAGACAGCAAAUCUCAUUUUCCAGAUUCCCUUGCUAGCUAGGUGUGGCCCUAUUGCUAACUACUUCUUCUUUUUUUUUUUUUUUUUUUGAGACAGAGUCUCACUCUGCCACCCAGGCUGAAGUACAGUGGCACAAUCUUGGCUCACUGCAACCUCCAGCUCCUGGGUUCAAGCAAUUCUCAUGUCUCAGCCUCCCAAGUAGCUGGAAUUAUAGGCGUGCACCACCAUGCCCAGCUAAUUUUUAUAUUUUUAGUAGAGACAGCGUUUCACCAUAUUGGCUAAGCUGCUCUCAAACUCCUGACCUCAAGUGAUCCGCCUGCCUUGGCCUCCCAAACUGCUGGGAUUACAGGCAUGAGCCACCGCACCUGACCUGUUGCUACCUUCUGACUAAUGACAUGGGGGCAGAAGUAUCACAUGGAAGUUUCUGGGAACCUUCCUUUAAAGACACCCUGUGUCUGCUCUUUGCUCUCUUCCAUCUUGCUGAUAUGGCCUCCCGGGACAUGGGAAGCAGGCUCUCCUAAGGAUGGCGGUGGGGUAGUGGGGUGGGGGACCUGGCAAAUCUGCCAUGCCAGUCCUUCACAUGAGACAGAAAUAAUGCCAUAUUUUGUGUAGGCUUCUCUUUGGGAUGUUUUCCAUUACUUGCAGACAAACUCAUCCUCAGUAAUACAAAAAAUAAAAUUAUAUUCUAUAGUAUGAUCUCUCACCUACCCUAUUAAAAAUGUUUUGUAACUUCUCCUUACUCAUUCUUUCUUCCUCACAAUUUGUCCCACAUGUAGUUGAUAAAUGAUCUCUGAAAGUCCCAGCUGAAUCAUGUCACCCACACCCUGCCACCCAUGUUUGCGAAUCUUCAAUGCCUUCCCAUUUCCCUCAAACCAAGUGACACUUCCUUGGCCCAGUAUAGAAGGUCUCCAUGAGCCGCACCCACCCUGCCUCCCCAGCCUUCUCUCUACUACUCCCUCUGCUUGGUUGGGACUGCCCUUCUCCUUAAAAAGGAAGCUGUCCCCACUUCUGCCUGUCAGUGUUCUCUACAUCUUUCAAGAUCCAUCUCAUUAGCCAGGCAUGGUAGCUAGUGCUUGUAUUCGCAGCUACUUAGGAGGCUGAGGUGGGAGGAUCACUGGGAGGUUGAAUCUUCAGUGAGCUAUGAUCAUGUCACUGCACUCCAGCCCAGGUGACAGAGCAAGACCCUGUGUCUUACAAAAAA